AUGCAGCUCUGGACGAUCGAGGGCGCGCUCGAGGCCAUCGGUGACAAGGUCAUCGUCGACCGCCUCGACAGUCGGACCCACGAGCGCGUCGACACCAAGUUGUUCGCUUGCUGGGUCUGGUGCUGGGAUAUCGCCCACAUCCCCACGAAGCGCAUAAUUUGGAAGCACGCCCGGGGCGCGGGACGCGUCGACGAGAUGGUGGGCUACUCCCCGCCGAGCCGCGCCGUCGCGCCUCCGCCAGAGCUGCUACAGUACGAUCUGCUCAUCCACCUCGACCGCGUAGAAGACUGG
rnacentral:rRNA from 1 species